rnacentral:rRNA from 1 species
GAUAUUAUAAUACUAAAAUAUCCGCCAGAAAACUACGAGCGAAAAGCUUAAAACUCAAAGGACUUGGCGGUGCUCCAUACCGACUUAGAGGAGCCUGUCCUAUAAUCGAUACCCCACGCUAUACCUCACCAAUCUUCGCCCAACCAGCCUAUAUACCGCCGUCGUCAACCUACCUCAUGAGAGAAAAACAGUAGGUGCAAAAGUCCCGUAACUAAAACGUCAGGUCAAGGUGUAGCUUAUAGAUUGGAAGAGAUGGGCUACAUUUUUUAAAAUAAAAAACACGGCAUGGUACUAUGAAACUUCUACCUAAAGGAGGAUUUAACAGUAAAACUAACAAGAAAAUUAAUUU